rnacentral:rRNA from 1 species
CAGCCGUAAACUAUGCGCGUUAGGUGUAUCGGUGACCACGAGUUACCGAGGUGCCGAAGGGAAACCGUGAAACGUGCCGCCUGGGAAGUACGGUCGCAAGGCUGAAACUUAAAGGAAUUGGCGUGGGAGCACCACAACAGGUGGAGCCUGCGGUUUAAUUGGAUUCAACGCCGGACAUCUCACCGGAUAAGACAGCUGAAUGAUUGUCAAUCUGAAGGUUUUACAUGACUAGCUGAGAGGUGGUGCAUGGCGUCAGUGACU